GACGAACGCUGGCGGCGUGCUUAAUACAUGCAAGUCGAACGGACAGGCCCUGCUUUUGUUGGUUGCUCGAUAGGCGAACGGGUGUGUAAAACGUGUGUAACCUGCCCUUGUCUUUGUGAUAACUCCUGGGAACUGGGGCUCAUACCCGAUAGGAGCUCCUGAUGCAUGGGGGUGGUUGGAAAGUUCCGGCGGUGCGGGAUGGUAUGGAGGGUUAUCCGCCUGUUGGUGGGGUUGGUGCUUACAAAGCGUUUGACGGGUAGCCGGCCUGAGAGGGUGGCCGGCGACAAGGGUACUGCGAGACGGCCCAGACGCGUACGUGACGCAGAAGUGGGGAGUAUUGCACAAUGGGGCGAAGCCUGAUGCAGCAACGCCGGGUGCGUAAUGACGGCCUUUGGGUUAUAAACCGCUUUCGCCGGUGACGAAGCGUGAGUGACGGUAAUGGGUAAAGAAGCACCGGCUAACUACGUG
rnacentral:rRNA from 1 species